CCUGGAGUUCUGGUCGUUGUUGAAGGCAUCAUAUGUGGCCUGGCAGAAGUCGCCACAUCGGAGAAUGAGUUUGCGGAGGCUGAGGUCGAGAGGGUCGAGGAGAUUAUCCCAGUUUUUGCUGCCCAGGAUUUCAGGCCAUGUCGCCUCGCUUGUUCCGUCCAUGGGGAGGUAGCUAGCCAGGUAUCUGUGCUAGGUGCUGUGAAGAAAAUGGAAAUUAGGUCGGACUCGUGGUGUUU
rnacentral:lncRNA from 1 species